GGACUCGUAGGAGAGAUGGGAGUUCGAGAGAGAAAACAGGGUAGAAUUGAUAUAGUAUAUGGGUGUCAAAAUGAUGCAGUCUUCAAUACCCUGCCUUCGAAAGUAAGAUUAGAUGAAAGAUUCUACAAUAUGUACAGAUGCAUGAAAUAUCCUCAGCAAAAUUGUAGAAGUCUGUAAGAGGUACUGUGGGCUAGUAGUCAUGUUAAAAACCAUGUUAGUAACUUUGUUAUAUUUAUUAUGUAUAUAAUAAAACUGAUGAAACUUGGCUCCAUUCA